rnacentral:rRNA from 1 species
UACGGAGGGAGCUAGCGUUGUUCGGAAUUACUGGGCGUAAAGCGCACGUAGGCGGACCUGCAAGUCGGGGGUGAAAGCCCGAGGCUCAACCUCGGAACUGCCUUCGAUACUGCGGGUCUCGAGUCCGGGAGAGGUGAGUGGAAUUCCUAGUGUAGAGGUGAAAUUCGUAGAUAUUAGGAAGAAAACCAGUGGCGAAGGCGGCUCACUGGCCCGGUACUGACGCUGAGGCGCGAAAGCGUGGGGAGCAAACAGG